rnacentral:ncRNA from 2 species
UUAAUAUAGUGACCAUUUGGUACAAUCUUAAUGAUUGUUUAAAAGGGAAGUUCGGUUGAAUUCCGACACGGUCCCGCCACUGUGAUAGAUAGAACCUUAAGUUUACCACUGUACUUAAAAGUAUGGGAAGGUUUAAGGUUUGUUAUUCUUAAGUCAGGAGACCUGCCAAUGGGAAAAGCUGUUU